rnacentral:rRNA from 1 species
GACGAACGCUGGCGGCGUGCUUAACACAUGCAAGUCGAACGAUGAACCCGGAGCUUGCUCCGGUGGAUUAGUGGCGAACGGGUGAGUAACACGUGAGUAACCUGCCCUUGACUCUGGGAUAACUGCGGGAAACUGUAGCUAAUACCGGAUACGACCCUCGGCGGCAUCGCCAGGGGGUGGAAAGAAUUUCGGUCAAGGAUGGACUCGCGGCCUAUCAGCUAGUUGGUGAGGUAACGGCUCACCAAGGCGGCGACGGGUAGCCGGCCUGAGAGGGUGACCGGCGACACGGGGACUGAGACACGGCCCAGACUCCUACGGGAGGCAGCAGUGGGGAAUAUUGCACGAUGGGCGCGAGCCUGAUGCAGCAACGCCGCGUGAGGGAAGACGGCCUUCGGGUUGUAAACCUCUUUCAGGAGGGACGAAGGUUUGCCGGCGAACAGCCUGGCGGAUUGACGGUACCUCCAGAAGAAGCCCCGGCUAAC